GACGAACGCUGGCGGCGUGCCUAAUACAUGCAAGUCGAACGAGAGCGACCGGUGCUUGCACUGGUCAAUCUAGUGGCGAACGGGUGAGUAACACGUGGGUAACCUGCCCAUCAGAGGGGGAUAACAUUCGGAAACGGAUGCUAAAACCGCAUAGGUUCUUGAGUCGCAUGACUCAAGAAGGAAAAGAGGCUUCGGCUUCUGCUGAUGGAUGGACCCGCGGUGCAUUAGCUAGUUGGUGAGGUAACGGCUCACCAAGGCCGUGAUGCAUAGCCGACCUGAGAGGGUGAUCGGCCACAUUGGGACUGAGACGCGGCCCAAACUCCUACGGGAGGCAGCAGUAGGGAAUCUUCCGCAAUGGACGCAAGUCUGACGGAGCAACGCCGCGUGAGUGAAGAAGGAUUUCGGUUCGUAAAACUCUGUUGUUAGAGAAGAACAGCGCAUAGAGUAACUGUUAUGCGUGUGACGGUAUCUAACCAGAAAGCCACGGCUAACUACGUGCCAGCAGCCGCGGUAAUACGUAGGUGGCAAGCGUUGUCCGGAUUUAUUGGGCGUAAAGCGAGCGCAGGCGGUCAAUUAAGUCUGAUGUGAAAGCCCCCGGCUCAACCGGGGAGGGUCAUUGGAAACUGGUUGACUUGAGUGCAGAAGAGGAGAGUGGAAUUCCAUGUGUAGCGGUGAAAUGCGUAGAUAUAUGGAGGAACACCAGUGGCGAAGGCGACUCUCUGGUCUGUAACUGACGCUGAGGCUCGAAAGCGUGGGUAGCAAACAGG
rnacentral:rRNA from 1 species